CAACUUUCAACAACGGAUCUCUUGGCUCUUGCAUCGAUGAAGAACGCAGCGAAAUGCGAUAAGUAAUGUGAAUUGCAGAAUUCCGUGAAUCAUCAAAUCUUUGAACGCAAAUUGCACUCUUUGGUAUUCCGAGGAGUAUGCUUGUUUGAGGGUUGUU
rnacentral:rRNA from 1 species